CUAGCAACCUAUUUGGGCAAAGAAAGCUUAAAACUCCUAGCACGGGGAAGACGGAUUAUCUGAUUCUCGUGAAUGUGACCUCCGCGGAGGUUACUAGUAUCUCGACCAUAGGGAGAGGGCUGAAAGUUGGCAAAAAAAUAGGGCUAUCUCUCGAGCUAAGAACAUCAUCUUCCCUCUCUGAAAGAUCAGUUCAGUGACCAAGAAAGAAGCAAGUAGGAAUGAGAACAAGCAUUGAAAAUUACAUAAACAACAGUAAUCAGAACAUCACAUCUCAGACUGUUUCUAUCUGGCGAUUGAGAAACUGACAGGCCCAAAGAGCUCUCCAAUCGUGCCUCGAAAUGAGGCCGGAGAGCCGGUAACCUGAGAUCGCCUAAGAUCGAAAAGCACUUGGUUUACAGCCAAGCAACGACAAAAAAGAGUCCCAUGUCUUUCUUGAUUGGUAAACCCAACCAGCGAUUUACAACAAACAAGUCUUUCUUCAUUGCUUAAAGUAAGUAAAGAAAGCGGAUCACAAAGACUGUUCAUAUAUAUAUGAAAUAUAUCUGUGUUGGGAAGGAUUCCAAGGAUGUAUAUGUAUAUCUAGAAAACCAACAAAAGAUAUUGAGAAAGGUCAAGGAAAUAAGAAUGAGAAUAAAAAGGGUAGAAAUGGACGAGGGGGUGGAAAUAAUACGGGAUCAAUGCCGCCGAAACAACCGAAAGGGUUGGGGACACCCCAACAGAGAGGGUAGGGGGAAAGUUGCUUUGUAUUAAACGAGUGAUUCAGAGUUGUCUUGCCUUUCUAAAUUCAAGCAUGUCUGUUAUGCUAGUUCAUCUAUAGAACGUCAAGACCUUGUCUUCCGCUAGAUACCCGAGAAAGUAGAUUAAGGUAAUACUUUUUCCAAAAAGCCCACCCACGUCAGGGUCAAAAGUUUGUCUGCCCAUUAACAACAAGAAAGCCAAUUCAUAGCGCAAGGAAAAUAAAGGAAGGGUAGGAGCUAUCCAGUAGAAUGCUAGGAGACAAAAGAAGAGGACCUCGCUACACGAAUUGAAAGGAAAGCUCGGACUUCUAAUCUAGCUUCGAAUAACAUUAAUAAUCUCGUUCAUUUUUCCUCCAGUCCAGCAAGGAGCGGAGCCAGUUCAACUCAUGAAAUGGAUGCUUUCGUAGGGACUGUAUGACUUUUUCUUCCUAAAGCUAGAGUUGGCCUGACCGGCUUCGCGGGAUCAUUUCCACUCUGUAGGCCGCUCAUUCCUAAAUAGGAAAGAAAGUGCCUUUUCGAUUCUUCCUUCCUGCUUUACCCAGGAAAAUGGACUCAUUCUAGCUCUCCUCUACUUCAACCACUAAGCGCUUCGCUCCUUUAAUUCAGAAUAGAAAAUCUCGCCUUUUUGGCAUGAACAUAUAGCAUGUGCGCCGUGAGGUCAAUCACUGUCAGUUCUUCUUUAGAAAUUCUCGAACAUGAUGAAGAGCUCUUAUCGGCUUGAGGCUUCUUUUCAAGCUGAGUCGAAAUUUCAUAAGAGAAGAAAGAAAGUAGAAAGGAUUUGGAUUCGAGGCUUGCUAAGUGAAGUCAACAAACAAAGAAAAAAAGCUUUCUCCGAGAAAGCGUCUGUUCACGUCAGGGUCCGGGGUAGGCUUCUUCUUCGAGAUUGGCUUGGUCUUCAGUGUGGGCAGUCUCAUUUGCUAAUCUAUAUGUUUUCAGUUUCAAGAGGGAAGAAGCGGGGUAGAGUAAUUGGUCAACUCAUCAGGCUCAUGACCUGAAGAUUGCAGGUUCGAAUCCUGUCCCCGCCUAAUCAUCUGAGGCCGUAGUCAGCCUCCAUCUUUCAGAUUCGUAAGUAACUCAGUGAGUGCUUUCCUUUUCCCAUGUCUUUCUUGAUUGGUAAACCCAACCAGCGAUUUACAACAAACAAGUCUUUCUUCAUUGCUUAAAGUAAGUAAAGAAACGAGAUACUAGUAACCUCUUGUUGGGGGAAGCAGUUAAAAAAUGAACCAAAGCAAAUGAAAGUGCCAAAUAAUCCGAUCGAAAUCCAAAACCUACUUCUGUACUUCCCCUUAUCAAUCAUUUGUUUUUGUGGCUCAUAAUCUUAUUUUUAUUGGUAUGGUUAAAGCAAAGAAAUCUGAAGGGAACAAUAGACUUUUUACAAAAAAGGGACAUCCCCUAUACAUUGCGAUGCACGCCGCUUUCGUACGAGGUCGUGCCGCAACCGCAACUAUUUAAGGAUAAGGGAAUCCCAAAUGGGUUUGUUGAAAUGGAGAAAAGGCAAGAACGAUAAAGGCGACGGCGCACGUUUACCUACUAGGCGUAUUGGUUAUAACAUUUGAAUUUCUCUUACAUUCCACGUUUCCGAAACGGAUCCUAUCAAAUAUUUUACAUUUUCUAUGAUCAUCUCUAUUUUAGGUAUUCGGGGAAUCCUCCUUAAUAGACGAAAUAUUCCUAUUAUGUCAAUGCCAAUUGAAUCAAUGUUAUUAGCUGUGAAUUCGAACUUUUUGGUAUUUUCCGUUUCUUCGGAUGAUAUGAUGGGUCAAUCAUUUGCUUCAUUGGUUUCAACGGUGGCAGCUGCGGAAUCCGCUAUUGGGUUAGCCAUUUUCGUUAUCACUUUCCGAGUCCGAGGGACUAUUGCUGUAGAAUUUAUUAAUAGCAUUCAAGGUUAAACAUGACUCCUAGAGAAUUACCAAAAUACGAAGUUCUCUUCUUUUUGAUUUUGACUUGGUUGGCAGGGUCAGGGCCUUUCUCGCUGGGCGAGCGCAUCCGAUUGAUUCGAAAGUCCUUUCCUAAACCACUUCCCGUUCAGUUGCUGAAAGAUAGAUAGAACCUUUCUAACUAAAUGAGAUUGAGUUCCACGCAAGCUAGAAAGAUGCUUUUUGCUGCUAUUCCAUCUAUUUGUGCAUUAAGUUCGAAGAAGAUCUCAAUCUAUACUGAGAUCUCGAUGCUGCUAUGUUUCAUUACCUCUUUCGUGACUUUCUUUAAGAAGCGCAAGACCCUCUUUUUUUAGGGUUCUUGUCCGCCAACGGCAUUGAAGCAAGCAGUUUUUAACCCCACUUUAUUUGCGUUCACUCUGUUUUUUUUAUUAUCUUUUAUGGAAAGAUAAUAAUAUCUGCUUUCAGCUUUUACCACAUUUUUACUUCCACUCCCUUCAACAAGCAGAUUUUGGCUAAACAGCUCCUAAACAGCCAGUUUUAGGGGCAGGCUGCUCCUGUUCCACUGUCCGAUGAGGCGAGCACUGAAGCUGCCCUUAUGGUUUAAAGGAAAGGCUAUGCUCUAUUAUUACCUCACCACUGAGGGAGACCUUCAAACUUGGAAAUGAAUGCUUCUCCAGCUGCAGUAGCUACUGGAACUUCCAUAGCGGGAUCUAUGUCAGUAAGUCGUAUGCGCUUAUAGGUGAGAAAUUUGCUUGACUCGGCCGCAUUCACUAAAAUAGAAUGCCUAACAAUGCUCCUUUCAAGGUCUGUCAGAUUUCGGAUAUAGUUGAAGUCGAAUCGGGGACGGGAGCUGCACGGAUCCGCGAAAGAAGUCAGUCUUUCUCUCUCAUCUCAUUGUUGAUUCUGAGUCCAAAGCUAAUGCUUUCUGUUCCACCCGAACUUCUUCACUUGCUUUCUUUCACAUUUCUUGUUCAAGUCUAUACUGUACUGUAAUAAUGUAAUAAGAAGUACAGGUUUCAUACUGUGGAGUAGUGGUUUAAUCUACUACUGUAAACUCUUAGCUCCAAUGAUAGUAGUGGAGAUUCUUCUAUAUAGAUUCGUUACUCUAUUCUUAUUAGAGAAUGACUCUAUUACUAUAUACUAUAUUGACGUCAUUAACUCGUUAUUAUAUAAGAUAAGUACUAAUCCUAACUUCGUACUAACUGCUCCUUUACUAACUCAGUACAAUAUGAUGCUAUGGCUAAAUUACUAUAUACUAGAAAACUCGUUAUAUCAGUACUAACGGAUGCUACUAACUCUAGAAGGACUAAGAAGUACUCGAUUCGUUACUAGAAGAACUACGUCCUUUCUUCAACCUCUUUCAUCCCAGCUCAUAUCAUAGAACUACGAAUAAGAGAGGUAAGGACCUAUGCACUGAUACGGAAACCUCUGACAAGUCUCAUGGUCAGAUCUACAGACUCUUCCAAACCUUUCAACAUUUACAUUCAAAUAACAGUACAAUCGUAAUACUCCAGUGAAGUAGUUGACAGAAGUGUAGUCGUUUAUGUAAGUACUCUUAAAAACCAUUAUUCCAUACUCCAGAAACCACUCCCGUAGCUCCAAGUAGUUAACUUAUUCCACUUCACCAGUAUGAUCUGUUGGUUGUACAGUAUCUUCUGUUAGCCUUAGUACAUAGUCAGUAUAGACUAACGUUGGCUAACGUUACUAACUAGUUAUUACGUCACUACUCGUUGAGGCUAGACCUUGAAGUUGGAAGUUUCAGUUAAAGUCCCAGGUUCAAUAAUAAGCAAGAGGAUAGUAAGCAGAAAGCAAAUAAGCUAGCAAGUAGUUAGAAGUAUUCCCCAGCAAAUGACAGACUUGAUACAUAAACAAAGGUCAUGCCACCUUAUACGUCGUGAAACUAACCUUAAUUCAUUCUAUAGGGUAUCUUAUCCCAUAUCCGCCAGUCAAGCAGGAAAUCCAGUAAGCCCUUUUUAGCUAAGCUUCUUCUAUAAUUUAGUUCUCUGGGCAAGGUAUCCUACUUUCUAGGCUCCCUCGCUACUUACGAGCUCAAAAACGGAGUGUGGUUGCUCGUUAUAGUGCUGAACAGAGUAAAGGGCGGACGAGAAGGCCCCGGGCCCGGAUGGAACGCUCGAUUUUUCAAAGAUUGCUGGAACAUAGUAGAAAAGGAUGUGACUAGGUCCAAAACUUCUUUCGGAAGUGAACUCCCUUUGGAGACCCAACCACCUAUCUUUUCUUUCGAUUACAUCAACCAGUAACUGAGGGACAGAUUGCCCUAAGGAUUCAGGGACGAGGGAGGGCAGCACUCACGUAGUAGAGCCUGAUAGAAUGAGAGACAGCGGGAAGUAAAGGAGAGGAUGUGAAACCGAAAGACUUGAACUUCUACUGGAGAGCCUACCACACCGGAGUGGAAAGAGAGGGAAAGAGUCUUUCUUCUUUGUCGCCUUCGAUCUAUGAAAUUGCGAGAUCUGCAUUUGAGAGAGUCCGUGCGAAGGCUACUAGUUCAACUGCUUCACCAACGAGUUCAGCAGCUCAAGUCAAGGCCGAUACCGCUUGCCGGGAAGGACACUCUCGAAUCCGAAUCAAAGAGAAGGGAUAGCCACUCAGCAGCCACCUGAUAGAAAGGUGAUGGAACCUUUUUUCAAUUCAUUAGAUUAGCGAUCACAGGUCCGCCGCCGUCUAGGGAUCAGAGUGAGAGGCAUAAGAAGAUAAAAAGUUCCUAACCUCGGAGGCCAGGAAAGCUAGUCAGAAUCAGGGAGGAAAGAACUCUACCGAUUAUCAAAUCCCUGGGCUUUGCCAAAGACAUAGGAGGCAUACUGAUCUUAGUCUACGUCCGGCUCUCGAACCUGAUCUCGUAGAUUACCUCAACCAAGUAAUAGCAUUGACUCACCUUCUCGUUCUCUAUGCGAUUGGAAUCUCAGUCUGAGUCCCAGCCGGAAAGAGAAGGGGACUGAGAGAGCUAAGUGCCUUUGCGAGUAGCUACAUCUGAACUGACCUGCUGUGCCCAAUUUAACUGAGAAAAAAGGAUGAAUCCACUCCGGGUUUAGGGGUUACAUAAGAUCUUGAGUUGGACCAGCCUUUACUUCGUUAUCUAUGUAAGCAAUUGUCCGAGAUUGAUGUGGAGAGGGCAGGCGACUUGGGGGAAUGAAUCUCUAACUCUGAGGGAAGGAGAACCCAAUUCACCUUGUCUGAGGGGUUUCAUAGGGAGGGACCCCACAUUGAAUACCUUUCUCAGUUCUCAGUGUGCGAAAGAUAAAGAUGUUGUAUGCUUUCGUUCUGGCUGAAAGCAACAAGAAAGGAAGAAGAUGAGAUGGUAGGAAAGACUUGAACUGAGACCGUGAGCUACAAGCGACUCUAGCAUAGCAGUAGGAGCCGAAGGACGAAGAACUGCUUCAAGCCACGCCGCGAGAGCAGCUGAACGAGGAGAGAACAAAGAGACUGUCUGAGCGGCGAGAACUUGAUCUCAUCGGUAAAUGGGGUACCACUAUCGAAUCAAAGAGAAAGUUCUCGAUAUUAUCCAAUAACUGGACUGGAGCUUCUAGCACCGACAUAGACAUAUUAAGUGAAAGGAGUCGGGAUUUGUCCCAAAAGGGGGUCCCACGAUGAAAUGACUGGUCGGUGAAGCCCUAUGAUGACUAGCUUUGAAGCCAGGAGUGCAAACUCUGCUCUGACUAAUAGAAGUCUCAUUUCCUAUCCUGUUAAGGUGCCGUUUUCAAGAAAUUCAUUUUCAAGCAAUUCAAAAGAGACUAUCGCUUUGUCAUUCAAUUCUUCUUAUCUUAUUCUCCUGCUACAAAUGCCAAAACAGAGAUCUCAAGAUCAGCUCUUUCGAUCGCCGAGUCAGAAAAGAUUGAAGCAUAGCGCUUUUCUUUUGAUCUAGAGGGAUUGAUUCAAUAGAAUAUCCCUAAAGGAAGUGGUGUCUGGACGCCUUUCCUUUCAAUCAAAGCGGAUUCGAGCUCGCCCGCUCUAACGGCUUGUUUCCGAAGGUCUGAUUCAAAUAAACCGAGAAGGGCUCCUUCCUACUUAUCUUAGGGAUCACAGAAAUGAUUAUCUUGUUCGUGGCAAUCAAUGUCGCUAAAAGUGGAACGUAUGGACUGCUGUGUAGAAUAGGAGCGAUAGGCCCUACUGGACGUGGAAAUGACGGAAUCAUAAAAAUUCGCAAUAGCAGGAGCAAAGAAAUUUCAUCCGCUUUUAGCCAAUGCUGAAUGCCUCUUUGCUUUGGGAGGCAAUCAAUAGGAGUUGAUGAUUCUCUUGUGAAGAAAGCAACUUAUCUCUUACUAAAGAAAGGACCUUUUGUAAGGAGGAAUCCUUCUUUUUUGUUGUAAGGUCUGGACUCGAAGAGGGAGUCGAUUCACUCAAGACAGCUAGAGGACGAGAGAAAGCCUUACCAGAAGUGAAGUAAAGAAGAGCGGGAAAUAGAAGAUCUUAAAACGAUUGUAAAAAGCAAUCUCCCCCAUAAAAAAGAAGGGACUGACUUCUUUCUUGACAAGGAUCCUGAAUAAAUCGCGCAUGCUCCAAGGACUUCACGGAAUUAGGAGGCACACAGGUAGCAAGAGAAAUGCGGGUAAGCGACGACCUCAAAAAAACAAGUUUUGAUUUCCAGAAAGAUCCCCACGCUGCGGGAUGAACCUCGCCAUAAGAACCACCAGCGACUGGGCACGGGACUCAACCUCUGAACCUCUGCCUGACCAGGCACGGAAGCAGGAACAGGCCCAUCUGUGGCAUCGGAUUUGAAUGCCGAGAGGAAGAGGAAUCCAUUGACUGAAAUCCAUUCUUGGUUUCAACUUGCUGAGUCUCGGAAUCAGUUCCGUGGGCGUCAACAAGCUAAUUGGUUAGGCGCGUUGUGGUUUCCUUGGAUUAUUUACAAGCGGUAUUCAAGCUCUUAUUUUUGCUACUUUAGCUGCGGCUUAUAUAGGUGAAUCCAUGGAAGGCCAUCAUUUACUAGUUUUCUAAAUAGUCUUUUUUUUAGUUUAGCCCGCCGCAAUGUAUGUGCGGCUCAAGAUAAUCUACUUAGGGAACAUAAAUAUAUAAAAUAGAAAGAAAUUUGGAUAAUUUAAUAAAAUAAAUAUAAUAUUUAUAAUUAGAUUACUCAAAUUCUGAUAUUUCUAUGCAAUAAUUCGGUCUAACGAAUUGAUUUAGAUUUAUUAAAUACAUAUGGGAUAAUAAAAAAGUCAAACGAUUCUUUUCAUAAGUUUUCUAAGUGGCCUGCUCUUCUCUCUUUUCUCUAUUGAAUUUAUAGUAGCGAGACGGAUUCACCACUACUUAUGACUUCGCCAAUGGGGCAAACGAAGGCUAACCCGUUCUGGUUGUUAUGACUGGCAAGAAUCAGUAGGUUCUUUCAGUCUUGCUUGUGCGCUUUGGUCCUUCUUACAGAGACUAUCCUUUGUAGUUGUUAUGAUCCAUCCAAGGAAUGAGCUUCCCCAGAGUAAAAUCCCGUGGACUACAAGGAAAAGAUAGAACCUCGCCCAGCAGCUGAUUCAAUAGCAGAUGGUCUUGGAAUUUCAUUCGAUGCUUCUGAUUCAACUCCAAGACAACCAAGGAAGUAUGCGCGAAGAUAGGGUUUAGCCCCGGUCGCUUAUGUUGAGGCGGCCUUCGCUGUGCUGCACUGGCUUGAGGAUAUGAGGAGAUAGAAAGAAGAGAGACCUAAGGUCUCAGUUAUGGUGUUACAGUCCUGCUUCCACCAAAGGCAGGCUUGCUUACAGAACUGACUUAUGGAGAUCGAUUUUGACAAGAUUCAGUCAGUACCAACAAGGAAAGAAGGACAGAUUAGCUCUAAAACCUUAACUUGCUUGAAUCUUCGGAGAUCUGAGUAUCGGCAACUCCCUCAACAGCUUCACUCGCUUAAAGGACUACAGCAUAAAGUCCUUGCAUUGCUGUGAGUUUCAGACUCAGAACUCUUUCAUUAUUGAUUUCAUGAACGUCGUUUACAACUAAGCUUUUUCCCUAGUUUCUUACUUCCCCUUAGUGUUUGUUGUGUUGGACUUGAUAUACCUCGACCCUAGUCUUGGCUAGUAAUAGGAAACAUAAAGAAAAAUAUAGUUGUCUAUUUAAUUUAAUAUGAUAAAUAAAGUCUUCCUGCCUUUCGGAAGGAGCAUUCCUCUUUCUUUUGUUGACUCGCUUGCUAGCUUUCCAACUGGAACUACCGAUUAUACGUUAACAAAAAAACGGGCUGCCUUCCCAAACUUGGCAGGAAUAUCUCCUACUCGCAGGAAAGGGAAGAAAGACAAGAGAUCUGAUCUAACGAAGAAAACGAGUACUGGCUAGGCUAAGAACAACGCCUUUAAGGCAGGCUAACUGGACUACCACUGCCUCUACUGAUGGCCUUAGAGAAAGAACUUAACUCAUCAAUCAGUCAGUCUAUAGCCUUCCAGUUUUCAGGAUUUGCUGGUCUUACCGUUGUUCGGAGGAGCUCCUCCUUCUGAGAACACGGGUUCAAGGGCCUUGCUACUCCAACGAGGGCACCCUUUAUUUAGGCUUCUUCAGUCCAUCGGCGAGAACAAAACAAGCCCUUUAAGCAGAACGUCAUGCCAUUGGGUUGAUCGAGUGAGACUCCCUAGCUGUAGCUCGAAUUGCUAUUGCUUGAUUGAGCAUUCGAAUCCAUUCUCUUCAAUUGGAGAGGAAGCCAGCAUAAGGGAGCCCACUCGACCUAAAGCUAACAAAGACUUAUGGCAAGGAAAUCUAUUCCAUUCAUUCAGGCUUUUCUAUAUCUUGAAAGGUUCAUUCCUACUACUUCAUUUAAGACUUUCAGGCCUCUCUCCUGUCACUAGCUGCCGAGCGUGCCUUGUGUGUGUCUCAGUGGAAUCAAAGCCCUUCCGCCUUUGACUAGACUCUCGGAGAAGCAGAUGGUUAAGUCAAGGCCAACCAAGGUGCGUUGUUAGACUCUCUACCUAUGAUAGUUGGGCUCUAGCCUUAGGUGGCUCUCGCCAUUUGACUACGACCCAUAUCCGCCUUAAGAGCUAACGGUCAACUGGCUAACUGUCUUGUUCGCUCUACGGUAAGAACUGCCUACUAAUGAAAGAAUGACAUAGAAAGUAUAGGCUGAUAUAGGGCUUUUCGUGUUAUAACUAAUGAAGAAGGUAAGUUCAGACUUCAUUAUUUUCUUUCCUCACCGACUAUUUUGUAUAGAAGAGUUAGUUUAAGAUUGACCUACGGCAUAACUUAAAUGAAUUCUUAGGGACCGAUAGAUGAAAACGGAAGAAAUUCUAUAGUUACAUAGAUAAGCUUAUAAUCCCUACGGAAAGAACAACAACGACCGAGAAAACCCUGCCCACACAUGACCACUUUGUCUUCGGACCUGGCCGGGAUAACAGGAGCUGUAAGAUUUACGUAAUAUACUUUCCUUGUUCACCCUCUCUUUUCAGUAUAUUCCGUUGGUGAAUUAAUAAAGGCGAAAUGAAAUCUUUCAUGACCCGGCCCGGGUAGUGAAUAAACUUGGAAAUAGAUCCAAUAGUUCAGUUCGUUCGAGAGACCUGCUCGCUCGGAAUGGAAUCGGUUGAAUGUACGACGGAUCAUGAAACUCCCAACUUUUUAUGGACUAGCCGUCGCUAACUCUAGAUCAAAGAAGUGGGAAUCGGGUUGUAACCGAAGCCUGUGAUAUGGAUAGGCGCCUUGAUCGCUGGAAUGUAGGGUCUCCAUCCGAGAAUUCCAGUCUGGCAGACAAAAACUUAUACUGACAAGGAACGUCUGUCGAAUAGUUGUUGGCCUUGAAAAGAUCAAACCAACGGGUCGGCAACCGGAUAAGCUCCCUCUUUCAUUAUUAUUAUAUUUAAAAAAAGAAGGGGUUGGAUGGGAAGGUACGCAGUGAAAGACCUGAAACGAGCGUGAGUGUGUUCCCAGUAGUUCAUUCCGAUAGGGAAUUCCGAGUUCGAUCUAAGUGGCUAACCAAGGACAGGCUCCAGAGGAAGAGGAUGCAUUCCGGUAUGAAUGAUAUAAUUCACGCUCAUAAAAGGAGUAUGAGAAGUUCUGUGCCAUUUUCUGGCGGGGAACGGACUUGACUGACCAGUAGAAGGUUGGUUCUGCCUUGACAGUGAGAAGAAGAAGUAGUGGGCAAACGAGCCAUAUAAGAUCUCCUAAUCUGCCUGUGCGGGAAUUUUCAUUAUGAGCGAGUUGAAAUGGUCGGUUCGCUUUCUUUUAGUAACGAAUAGCGACUAUGGGCAGAAGAGAGAGUAUAUUCCGAAAGGUUGGGCGAAGUCUCUCGACCUUUGUGAACAAGAUUGAACCAAAAACUUCUUAUGAGCUGGGCAGUCGGACAAGUAGUGAGUUGAGUAUUAUCCUGUGUAGGGCUUACCAGUCAAUUAGAGUGAUGGGGCAUUUAACAGGGGCGUACAAUCCCAAGGGAGAACGGACACGAGGGAAAGUAAUGCUAACUCAAUUCCCGGGAUUAGGGUUAGGAUCAGUCUUUGAAAAAGACAACUUUCUUGACUAGCUGACCCCAUGUCCUCAAUCAAUCCCUUGGUUCGCUCGAUUUAAGAACUCAGCAGAAUGAAUGGCAUUUCAUAGUAUCGAGCCCAGAAAGAAGCAUACCGGGCAUUCGCUUGGUAGGUACAUUUUAUGUACAAUAGAUAAGUUUAUUCUAUUCUAAAGACGGGGUUUUAUUAUGAUUUAUGUGAAGGUAGACGACACUAGCUGAGCUGGGUUCUUUCUUAGACACAUGCUGGUCUAUGUGCAAUGAAAAAGCAAUGGAAAGAGAGCCGAUGACUCUGAUUUAUGAUAGGAUGUGCCAUUCCCGGAAAGGUAAGAAGGAAGUGUGAGUGCUUCUAUCACAAAUAACGAAACGAGCGAGUGAAGACCUAGAAAAGCUCUCCUGAGUCAACCUACCCUACCCGGAGUUACAUUGUUUCCCUGGAAGUGAGCGAUAAUAAAGUACAUUUAGAUUUCCAAGGUAGGAUUAGCGGCUAAAGGGCUCGGGAGCAUCUACCUCAUUUCCCAAGCUGGAGUGGAGUGGGAAAAGGCUCUCGAUCUGCCGGAAAAUGAGGAGGCGCCAGCUUGUCUGCGUUCCCAUGUGGCAGAUGAAUUACGAAUCCUUUUCCAUAUUGGGCGCAAGAAGACCCUAUCCGACAGCGAAUUUAACAAAUUAAUCGGCGCAGAAAAGUCCUUUUUUGUAGUGCCGGACUGCUCUGGUCUGUCUCACAUUCAUCAAGGAAUGAUGUGCCAUCCACGACACACUACCAGGUAAGAACUCAGCCUUCAGCUGCUCCCAGGUUCCGAUCGAGCACUUCCCUAUGCCGACCUCAUCCUAUAUCUCCAAACGUGUAAAAGAGGGGUUGCUACUUCAUACCUUUCCAUUUAGCUUCUUGUUGUUUUCCUGAUUCUUAGGAUAACAAUAUGGGACUCUUAAUAUCAUCCCUUAACAGGACUUCAAUCAGUAUUGAUCCGGCAAUGGGACGUCGCUUUAACUCAAUUCCAUAGAGCCUUCGCUCUAUUCUUUGUGAGCUUUGGGAAGAAGAUCAAUGCCUUUCUUUCCUCUUUCCCAUAAGAUGAAAGAAAAGUUGGAAUAGGAUGUGUUCAAACUUCUUAGCCCUCGUCAGCUGCCCUUGCUACGCUUCGGAUGCUAUGAGCUCGGCUUAGCUUCACUUCGUCGGGAAGGAGUGUAGCUAAGGUCAACUCCCUCCGGAAGGGGGGAUACCAGAAACUCUCCAAGAAGAGCAACUAUCUACUGCUAGCUCCUAGCUGUUUUCUCUUCUUGGCAUCCCUGAUAGCAGCACUUUCAGGUGUUCUUAGGUUAGUUCGACGGUAGGGCUAGUUGAAGCAUCUUUAAGAAAUGUCCUGACGGAAAUAAAUGUCCCAUUAUUGUUAAAGGAAGCUAAGAAGAAGUGAAGUAUCCCCUUCAAAACAGGCAACCAAGACUUAUGAAGUGCGUUCAGGCUCACUUUACACUUUCUAAAUGGGAACCCUAAUUCGAAAUAUGAAAGAAGUUUGCAAGAGAUCCAAGGGAUCACAGUCUUCCUUCAGUAAAGGCUGUAUGUAAUUCAGUCUUCGCCCACCUUUCUAUAUGCGAGUAUGCGAUUGUUCGCUCGACCCGCCUGCCCAGUUACGAAAUGAAAUAGUUAGCUCUUAAAAAGCUAUAAAUUCAAGGAAACUCAGUCUCUGAGUUGCUAGGAAUUCCCAAGCCUUAGCGAAGAAAAAAGCCUACUUGAAGAGGGAUGCCAAGAGGAGCAAGUUUACUCACUUUAUCUUAAUCUUAUGUAAUAUUACGUACGACCCCGCGAGCUAAAUCUAAAUUGGUCUCAAAGAUUAUCAAGGGCUUUGCGCCUCUCUUACCCCUCCUUCUAUCCAAUAUCCAAAGAUACUUUAGAGACUUUCCCAGCUGUAGUAGCUUCCCUUCCAUCCCAUCGAUUGAGCUUUCUCUCGCUUAAUUCAAUAGGGCCUUAGUAGACCGCUUUGAAUUCGAUAACUCGAUCGCUUCUUUGCUGCUCUCGGCUUCUGAAUUCGUACCUUUCAAUAGCCAGUCUAGAAGCCCUAAUCUUGUAAGGCACGUGACUGCAUUCCUAAAUUCUAUCUCUGCUUCCUUCACUCCUUCUUAUUACAAUACUGUAAGUGGGGCUGGGCAAGCCAAGCAAAAUGGGAGUUUCCUCUUUGUAUCCUCUAGUCUCAAGACUUUCUUUCACUUUGAAAAUUAGGGCCGGAAAAGGACUCGUUCUUGAAAAGGAGAGAGAACUAAAAAAACCUUGAGUCCAAGUCCGGAGUAGUGGAUGUCCACCCUGCGGCCCCCCAAGAGAGUGGUCUUGCCCUUCCUUUGCUUUGCCCUUGGCGAACUGGCAAGGGGUGCACCAAAUCGCACAACCGAAACUCCAAUAUUCGGAAAAAACAUAUGCUUAACACAUGCGUCAAUAACUCCGGUUUCGGGGUAUCCGCCUCUUAGCGCUAAGCAUAAAGUUCGCCGGCUACGAGUUAAACAUUAGUGCAUAUGGGCGGGAAUAGCACACUCCCCGGCGACUGUUUAGGGUUGUCCCUUUUCCGAACCGUAAGAAGAUCGAGAUUUCUCACUACUAGCGGACCAUGCGUUUAAACAAGACUGCUUUCUCAGACUUAAGUAAAAAGGAUCUAAUACUAAUAAAGCAGGGUUCGAAGGUGCUGGGGCUGUAUAGCUCCUGGGAAAGCUAAGCUAUAAGCUAAGAAAUAAAACAUUGAAAGACGUUCACCCCUUCCUCUAUAAUGUUACUUCGUACCUUCUAUCAAGUAUAAAGGGAGUAGAAUUGCUUGUUUGAUAGAACAAGGGAGGAAUGAAUAAGUAAAAUGCCAGUCUCUUUGAGAAGAGUAAGCUCGGAAUCACAGGGGUUUGAAAUUGAUUACACUCCUUCUCUUUCUCUCCCUCUUUCCUCUCUUCAAUUAUAGAGACCCGUACAUACAAAGAUCUAGGUAGCUCAUUUAAAUGAAUUCGAGGAAAACAGCACAUUACAUUAUGGCAGUGAUCUUUAGCUGGUCAUAGCCAUAAUCAUAAUAAAGGCAACGCAAGGUUUGCUCCAUUCCAGACCGACCUACCGUUAGCUUUAAUAAAGCAGUAUUCCCUGGUAAGGACUGGUGGCAUAGCGCAGUCCUCACCGAUGUGGUGUCCAGUCACAACCUAUAGAUAUAGAAUAAGAAGAUUCUCCUUUUACUUACUAUUGAUUUGGAACUUCUAGAUCAUCUCGUUCUACUUUAUGUCUUACCUAGUUUAAGCCUUGGUGGUCUCAUUUAACCAGUGUGCCCACGUGACAAUAAGAGCAUCGGUAAAGGAGAUCCUCCUAUUAAUUCCUAUUGAAGCUGAGCAAAGCAGGUGAUGUGCCACUGUAAUGGAGGGCUCAGAGAGAGUCAAAGUGUCACCACUGAGUACUCCGAACUGGUCUCCGCAAAGCCUUAUACAGGGCUUGUUCUCUGUUUUUAUUGAAACCACUUUUUGAAUGAAUCUCCCACUUCUAUAGCUAUCCUUCUGCUUUCUCUUGUGCUGGCCUGCCUUCUGGUCUUACUAGCCAUCCCUCCCAACUAAAAUUUUGAGUUACCUGUCUAUAAGCCCAGUAUUGCUAGUUUUCUAUCUUUCCUUAUCAAGUUUUAUGGCUGGUCUUCCCCGCAAGCAGUUCACCCAUUAGUUCAUUUGCUCGCCCGAAGCCUUAGCAGGAUACAAAAUAAAAUAACAUGAGUAUUCGCAAGUCUUUGGCAGCUAGGGUUGCAAUUGGCUAGUAGGGUUUAGUAUCUAAGCGGCUGGCUAAUGUAGGGAAUCCACCCAUCUUGUCAGUAGAGUCAAUCGCUCUUCUUCCUUUACCGGAGGUGUCAGUAAAAAUAGUAAUCCUCCUUCAGUCCCUGGAAGUGAUCCGGAUCCGUAGUCGGUGUUCUUAGUGCUGUAAGUGGUACGCACGCCUUAGUCUUAGACUCAAUCUGCUUUUAUGCCAGUAAAGUUGAAGUCUUCUAUUCCCGGAGCCAAGGAAUCGAUUUCUAGUGGCUAACUUUAGCCAGAAGUUUAGGCCCUGCCCUUCCAAGGCGUCUUAUUAUGCUCGCAUGGGUGGUCGCUCUAGCUAUAUCUAUACAUAUCGAGCUAUCAAAAGCUUUUGAUUACAACACUUCGAAUAGUUAAAAAAUAUUAUUAUUUAGGUUGAAAAUAUCCUAGGAAUUCAGUAGGCUGAAAGUAGGGUAUGCUCAUAAUAUUCAUCUAAAGUAAAAGACUAUCUUUUAUGUCAAGAACUAACACUCGUCCGGAUACUAUGCCUUCCAGAACUAACUAUCGACCGCAUCGCAUUAGCUCCCCUGUCCCGCUCGUAUCGUUUCGAUUACUGCCUAGGGGUCGCUACUCUUGUCCCUUGGCUAUGGGCUAUGAACUCCUCAUCUUAACUGUAAAACGGAUUCUGCCCUAAUUUCAUUUUACGAGAAAGCUGCCGGGAUAGGAAAUUUGUGUCAGUUUAAAGUGAAAGAAUGAGCCCUAUGACUAUUCUUGCAAAAGCCCUUUAUACUUUACUUUAUUAGUAUCUCACUUGCCCGAAGGAUUGGAUCUUCUUGCCGGGAAAGAGUUUGGUUACCAAGUUCAGCUAUAGUUGGGAAGGGAACGAAUGGGGAUGCCCGUCUUGAACUUAUAAUUGAUGUAUGAUAGAGCCUCCAGCAUAUAGGCCUAUCUCACUUGGAUUCUUCUCACGAAUUGGAUUUGAACCAAUAUCUCCGGGCGACUUUCCUUUUAGUCGAUCGUGAGUGGUCUGUCGUCCUCCUCAUUAUAGUCCUCCUAAAAUCAAUAGCAUUUAGUCGGAAAACAUCCUGUCUUUUUACCUCAGUAGUCCUAUGCAUAGUAAGUACUAUAGCCCCAAUCAUGGCAACUAAUAAAAUUAGACUAGGAACCAAAAACCAGACGAAAUAGUAGGUAUAAAGUAAAUUGCCCAAUGUUUCCAAAUUAGUCCAACUUCGUACCUUUCCGGCAUAAACCGUAUAUCUAAGAGAGGUAGUAUUUCUUUGGGUUGGUAGUAAUGGAAUGGUUUCAUUAUCUAAAAUGAAGAACAUUUCCCACCAAAGGAUCAGUCCAAUAAUACCACUCACUGGUAAAUAGCGCAAUACUUCUUCGUGAAUCUCCGCUAUUUGAAUAUGGAACAUCAUAACAACGAAUAGGAAUGAUACGGCUAUAGCUCCUAUAUGAACUACUGGGAAGAUCAUAGCGGAGAAGUCGAGACCUAACAAAAGAAGUAAACCUGAAGUGUCGCGAAAGACUGGGAUGGGAAACAAAACGGAAUGUACCGGAUUUUUAGCACGUGCAACCAUCAAACCAGAGACCAAAGCAGGGCUCGACAAAACAGAAAGUAUCAUGGCAUUGAGAAGAAAUGAUUCCCUCCAGACAGACUGAACUCCGUCAAGCCUGUAGGACUAGUGUUUUGACUAUAUAGAGAUGUGGUUGGUUGUUGACCAACAGAAAGAAAGCAUGGCGGCAUAAACCGUAUAUCUCAGAGAGGCCCCCUCAGAGGAGCGUAGAAGGAGGAGAGUAGGCUGGGGUUGCUCCUUAUGUGUAAAAUCCAGUCAGCAAUCUCGGAGUUGGAAUAGCUUUCUAUCUCCAAAUCCAUGACCAUGAUAGCGUAGGCAAAUCUAUUAGAAGUAGUAUCCGUGGGGGUGGUGGAAGCCACAUAAAGCUUUCAUGGACACAGGAGAGAGGUUAACCCUCAUAUCCUUGACCAGAAAUUGUUUGGCAAACUCUACAGCACCAGUUGAGGAUAUCAAAGACUUGUGUGUGGAUAUCUUAACACCAAGCCGUUGUAAGCCUAGCCGGUACUGUUCCGCCACAAGUGGAUCGGUGAUGAGAACAUCAUCACCUAAUAUAGCAUACCUGUCGAACAGGAUCCCAGGUCUAACCUGUUCCGCAGCCCACCACACCAAAACAUGAUGGGUGAACGCGAACAAAGGCCAAUAACCAUAAUAGCCUAACGGUUGACCGGUCACAAAGGACACUUGAGACAGAGCCCUCUUAACGAAGGGUACCUCAAAUACAUUCGUCCCUAAUGUUGUAUUCACAACACUUGAAGCAAAUGACCUGUCAAACAAUAGCGCAAGCCUUUCAAACAGAAACACAAGAGGCCACCAAUCGGUAGCACUCUUGAGGUCAUAGCUUAAACAUGUUUUACUAGGAACUAAACGAAUGAGAGGUGCUGUUUGAUCAUCCAUUGGGAUGCGGCGGAGGACCUCCGCAAACCAAUGGUGGAUGGGUUUCAGCAACCUCUCACAUAGUUUCCUAUUGCGAAUAUACGACGCUUGCCAGCACCCUCACACGUGCAACCUAGUUUGCCUGUGAUUGCGGCCCAUAUCGUCGCAGGAUGGUAGAAAGGGCCCUAUACGGCGCUCAAACCAAUCCAAAUCCUCGGGUGUGUUUUAUUCCUCACAUCAAAGGCGUAACGAAUACGGGGAGGCCACAAGCAGCCAUGUGACCAUUGGGUACCCUGUGAGUGCCCAACGACCAACAGCCAUUGAAAAGCGCCCAACUCAUGAGAAAACGAUGUGAAUGAAGAGCGAAAGUUCCGAAUCUUACGAUAAGGAAGUUUCCUUCUCUUAACCCACACCCUUUUCGUCAAUGAGUGUGUCGGCAAGGCUUUCCAGGUUGGUUCAAACCGUAACCCUUGUUUGUUCCAGGGGUAUACGUUUUAUCCAGGGAGCAUAGCGACUGAUAAGUCGAUUAAAGUUCUCCUUAAUCGAACCAACCAGCCCCACCACCUCGUCAAUAUUAUCGGGUGGGGAUAUUAUACUAGAAAACGUUGAUUUAUCAACCUUCUUUGCCAAAGUAAUGAUCUUUGACAGAGAGAAUCUUUUUUAAUAAAACUUCACCAGCAUGUCCGCUUUCUCAUCCUUCUUCAGAAUCAUACGCCUAUGAUGAGACGGAAUGAUCCGAGGGUAACCGGACCGAGUGAGAGAAACUGGUACCGCAUUGUCAGGAUGAACGAAUUCAUCACCACCAUAGGCCAUCAUCAAGGAUGAAGCUGCUUGCUUAAAAUAGAAAGCGCAGAACAACCACCCUGAUUUCCGACCAAGGUGAACAAUGCGAAUAACAACAAGAUGGAUCCCCACACAGAGUUCCUUGUUCAGACCAUCAAAGAUCACUAAAGCACCUUUUGGUAUGUAUUGCCCCCUAAAGAUCAGAUCCACCAGACGAGAAACUCCAUUCCGCACUGCUGCUGAGUCGUCGGACUUAUCCACCAAGGGAUUCGUGGAAUUUAUAUGGAUUGCGUUGGGGGAAAUCUACCAAAGCUAGGCAGAUAGAUAGACUCCUUUCCCGCUGCUAAGGGAGAGUAAGAAAGAAAAUCAAUCAAAUGAUUGUUUUUUAAUUUAAUCAGCGCCUCCUUUUCUUUUGGGUAUGCAGGUACUACGAGUCCUCUCACUACCAACCAGCAGACAUCAUCUGGCUGGUCUUGCCGGUAUCAACAACAAGAAAAAACAACCAAAUGGAAACAGCAAUUAACUAUGGCUCUUGGCCCAGACAACGUCCUAGGCGUCGGGGAGAUCGUAGCAACAAGGAACGCCUAGACGACGUUUUUAUUCCUGGGCUGCAGUAAGCAGAUCGAGAGGUCGUUCCGCCCCUUGUCCCCGAAUAUGGGUAAUAUGUUCUCAAAAAUUCUUGCUCCAAUCUGACCUAGCUGGCGAGCGAUCCCAGUUCGCGGCAGAGAACAAGACAGCAAGCGAGCGUACCUUUGUUCGCUUCUUCUCCACCAAGCACGGAAGUUUAAGGAUAACUGUAGGUCGGUGGCUACCUAAGGAAACUCCGAUUCGAUCCGCCCCCCAGCUGGGAGGCAUCUACCUCAUCCCGAUCACAAGGAGAGGUUCACCAUGAUGGGGGUACUUGUUUUUUUUCCCUUCCGGAAAGAAUGAAAUGCAUAGGGGACCAUCCUUUUGUUGUGUUGCGGCAUGCUCCUCAGAUUUACGGAUUCGCAGGGGGCCUCAGGCCCUACUUAGUUGACUGACAAUGACAAAGGCUUGCGAAACUAAGUAGGGCCUUUUGAAUGAAUUGAAUCUUUAGUAGUCUAUCAGUGGUGCAAAGCGGCUUUGUGCCCCUUUUCAGUAGGGGAGCUAAGGCUUAGACCUUCCUUAGAAAGUCAGCGAACAGCGGUUCUUCUAUGUAGGUAUGGCCUUCCCCCUUGACUCUCCUAACGUCGAGCUAAGUGACUUUGUAACCUUUGCGUAGCGUAGUAGAAUGAAGGCUACGCACUGACGCUCUCUUAUCUAUUAGCCUAAGCGUCUUCGCUAACUCGCUCGCCUACUAUACUAUACCCUACUAUACAAUACAUUAGUAGGGUAGGCUAACCCAUAGGUCCUUAGUAGCGUUGACAAAGAAGAACAGCCGGUUAAAAGACAGUGAAUCUUUAUAAAUAUAUAUUUAUAAAAGAUUCUAUAAUAAUGAAAAAGAUAUUUUAUAUAGGCCAGCUUGACAAGCUACCCUUCCUCUUGAUCUUAGGUGCGAAGAGAAAGAUCUCUUUUUUAUGACUUCCACUUAUCUAUCGAUCCCGGCCCGGAAAAGUGACCGACCAGGGGAAUGAAAGAAAGGCUUUAUGAGCCCUAGCCCUGUAAGCCCACACCUGUGUAGAGUAGAUCGUUCAACACCUGCGGCACAAACCCAUUUUUGACCUAUUGGUCCUAGUAUCAUAGGCGACCGAACGGCCGCCCCCUAAUUACUAGACCAACCUGCUGUAAUAAUUCCAUAAACACCUAACGAAGAUAUGGCAAACAAAUAAAGUAGCCCUAUGUUCGAAUCUGACAAUACCAUACCAUAAUCAAAAGGUACAACGGCCCGAGCGACCAGACUUAACAUAAAUGUAGCCACUGGAGCCAUUCUAAAAAGGGAGAAAUUAGCACUACUUGGUGAAAUAGGUUCUUUUAGAAUCAAUUUCAAACCAUCUGCUAGAGGUUGUAACAAUCCGAACGAUCCCACUACAUCAGGACCUUUUCGACGUUGCACAAAAGCCAUUACUUUACGUUCAGCUAGCACUAAAAAGGCUACUCCUAGUAGAAGUGGUAGAAUUAUUCCAAGUAUUUCAGCUGGAACAGCUAUGUACGUUUUCGAUUUUCUAUUCACUCAUGAUCUGGCCUGGUCGACCCAAUCAUGAUAUUGAAGGAUGGGACCUUUUCUCGAAAAACUUUUGUUUCACAUUUUCGGAACUAGAAGACAUAGUUGAUUAGAUCUAAAAAGUGAAAAAUCUGUUCGCAUAACCAAGCAUUUUGGCCAUGUAACAUGACAUCAUAAUAGUCAUUUGUCAGAAAGCCCGGACUGUCAAUCCGAUCGUCGGAAAUAACAGCCCUAACAAGGUCGGACAUCGUCCACUCCGGCGGUACUUGUCUAUUUGACAGUAGAACUCAGUCUUCGCAUUUAUCGCAGAUUUGAUUAAAUACCCGCUAUAACUCAGGUGGAGCGCUUUGCGCGUCCGACCUAGUUGAAGAAAGAGUGAAAGAGGUACUUGACAGACUAUCAAAAGACAUAUUCCUAGUAUCUGAUAGCAUAAAUUGGACAUCACUGGACGUUGGAUUUCCAAAGAGUAAAAGUUAAUUGUUAUUCAACAUAGGCUACUUUGAAAAAUAGCUCUGCUCCCCUUAAAAAAGACAAAUGAGGUUACUAGUAUCUCGACCAUAGGGAGAGGAAAGACUUGUUUGUUGUAAAUCGCUGGUUGGUUUACCAACCAAGAAAGGGCAAGGGGAGCCCCGCAACGGGGGUAGGGGAUCUUUAUCAUUCAGCGCAGUUGUCGCUUAAAUGCAGAGAAUUGGCCAUUCAAUCUUGUAAACUCAUUGAGACCGCAAUUGGAAAAAGAGAUACGAACGGAGAGGAAUAACCAAUCGAUGAAAGAACAUGAAACCAUUCUGUUUCAAUAGAGGUACGAGAAACGGUUGGGGGCAAUGAAGUAGGUGAAGUCGUUGGAUUUUGCGAGCUGUUCCAACCACUGCUGGAUGUGAUUCCAAGAGCCAAACGAGAAUGAAUACCACACAGAAGAGUAAAGACCAGGCUCCCUAAUGGAAUGUUUAACCGAUCCAUUCCGGAUCGACCGAAUUGGUACGGAAGUUGUAACAUGGGAAAACCACAGAAAACACAACUUAUUUGAAUAACCCGGUGACCUACCAAUUGUAGAAGUAGGAUCUUUGGCAAGCAAUAAGCACUUAAAUAAUACAAUUCGAGUGUACCAUCUUCUUUCUCAUUUCGAGGAAAAGGCGCGGGAGGAAAAGAAAACAACGAAGGGAUCCGAAUCGGACCUAAAUGGGAAUGACAUGAAAAGUCUUUUUCAAAACCUAGUAUUAAGGGCGUUACGACGAUAUACGAGAGGAAUGGAGAAAAACUCGUGAUUGGUGUGGAGGGGAAGAUCUUUUUAUUAUAUAGUUCAAGAAAGAGUCGUCUCAUUUCCUUACAUUAGCAAUGGAAGAUAAAAAAAAGUCAAUAUCUGUUGUUUUUUUCACUUAAACUUAAUAAGAGGUCCCCUCUUUUUUAAAUUUAGUUCAUUAACUUUCAAUCGCAUUUGGGCGUUCUUUCUCUCGAGAGCCCUCCACCGAUCACAGUCGUGAUCCAUUUCUGCCCGUAGCCGAGCACGUUCGUUGUCACGAACCCGAUCUAUUUCUCGGGCUUGAUCCAACCGGCUGUCGACUGAGUCAAGAACCGUCUUGAGGCGCGCGAAUCUUUCUUGUCUGGCCUCCUGACCCUCGGUGGGGGAUUCACUCAAGUGGCGAAUCUCCCUAAACCAUAAGUCGCCAAUCUAGGCGUAUGGUCUUUGUUCAUUCCAAAGAAAGAAGGUAGUGUUCGGUAACUAACUGUUCGCCGGUUGGCUCGUUUCCUAUCCCCUAUCCAAAAAAGGUGGAAGGCGACCCCCUAGCCAAACACUUCCUUUCCCUUUUCCGUAACCUUCAACUAAGCUUCAAGACCGAUUCUCCCCUGUACAAACUCCUAACUUGGAUCUUCCUACCGCUGAUGAGAGGCCAUCCCCUCCCUACCACCAUAUAUGAAAUAUGCCUUGUUUUUUUUCAAUCCUCCCUUCAACAGAUCCGUAAGGGCAGAUCUGGUAGCAAGAGAUCAAUUAUCAGAUUAAGUAAAGGGAUUGCCUAGCUAGCGCAUAUCGAAGAGUUUGAGCAGUGGCCUUUGUUCACAUCCUGAUUGGGUUUCAUCGAGGUAUCUUCUUCUCCUCUUGUUGCGACAAAUCGAGUUGCAGCACAUGACGAGUGCCCAUCUUUCCCGAAGCUCCACUUUCAUAAACACCCAUCGGUACAACAAUUGAUCACAACGGAAAGUAAUUAAGCUUGAUCCCGUUUUCCAUCGAAUCCUAUUCUCAACCUCGAGUCAGGAGUUGUUGCCCUAACUUCGUUAGCCUAGAAAGGCUUUGUUUGAAAGCUGUCUUUUCAAGAAGAAAGUAACACCGCUACUACUAUUAUAAUAUAAUAGCUACCUAUUCUCAUCCGAGGAGAACGGAACUACCUUUAGAGUAGACCUAACUGCUGCGGUUACGCCUCCAACAGAUGAAAUCGCACCGUCGUCUUCCCAGCGUAGAGCAAAGCAAACAAGUCAGCCGGAGUUCCAGAAGUCUCUUUAGUAGCAAAAAGGCUAAUCGGUAAUAAGCCUUCAGUCGACCAUCGGGAGAUACGCCUCCAGGCCAAACAGAUAAGGGAAGCGAGAACAUGAUCUUCUUCCUUUGCCUUUUAUAUGAUUACCUCUUCAGCGAGCGAGUACUCAUAUUAUGCCUUCCUUUCAGUCCUCCGAUCUUACCUUAGACCCUCCAUGCUAUGCGGGGAAGCGAGGCUGUCUACGAAGCUUCCCUCCCCCUGUAGUCGAAGUACUCGGCGCUACUUUGAUUCAAAAGGUUCCCGACUUUAUCCGGUUUCCGCAACCGUAAUCAUUUGUCAUUCCGAUUACUUCAUCCAUCAACCUUUUUUUCAAUAGCGGUACGCUCUAAAAAAAGUAAAGGAUAAGCUUGCAUUCUAGAAGCGGUAGCUUCCCGCCUCCUUCAUUUCUACUGCCUCCUUCGGUGAUAAAAGUUCCCUUCCCUUUUCUAAAAUGCCCGAUUGGUCUGCCUCAGCAAAUGUACAAAGUGGACCGCUGUUUGGCUGACCCUCUUCUUCCCAUUCGGGUUGGGUUGACCCAGAAGUAAAGUAAGAAGGAAUGGAACCACUGGAGAGUCGUCCGCAGUUCACACUUGGGCAAAGACGACUGAGUUUGGAAGCGGAACACGAACCGAUUUCCGCUAUUCCGGGUUCUUAUUGAGCGUAGCGAAAUCAAGGUUUAUUAGAAAGUCAGCGAAGUUUCUAUGGUGUUCUACCUUUGCGUAGUCUCGGUCCACAGUGGAAGGCUCCGUACCGACGCCUCACUACUACUGAAUUUAAUUAAUGGCUAAGCGAUUUCAUAACCUGAGCUUUCCUUAACCAGCUGACCUUACUUCGUAACCUUAACGUACUUUCUUUCUUACUAUAUCAAUCAUAGGCCUUCGCCACUUCAAACGGGCGCUUCGCCCUUUCUUUUUUUUAUUAGAAAAAAACGGGGCCUUACUUAUUCUGUUCAGGGAGGAUGAAAGACAAAGAAAGGGAUCAGGGGGCUUAUUGAUCGGAGAAAGGGAAGGGACUUCUUGGACCUAACUGAGAAGGAGACAUAAAGGGAUCACCUGACCUUAUCUUGAGUGAGAGAGGCAAGUCGCAAGGCAAAAAGCUUAGUCGUUUUCAACUCCGAGAGUGACUUCACUUACGGGAUUUCUAUUUCAUUCAGAGCCUGUUCCGGGCAUUGAGAGCAGACGAAGACUAAUAAUACUUUCGGAUAGCACGUGAGAUCAACUACUUAGAAUACGCUACCAUCUGUCUUCGAUUAUGCUCGUUCUACUUUGAGGGAGAGAUCGCUCCUUUAAGGAGACGGGAUUCUACUAUUAUAUAUGAAUAUGAUCCCACCACUUGAAACUGAUUCAACACCAUUCUUCUUCCAAGAGAAAGAAGAGCAAGAACAUCGCUUAUUCUGCAGCAACCUUCCUUUAUGCCUCUGUCGUCGCCGGGCUAAGGCCUGCUGAGACAAUAGAUAGUCAGGCAGGUGGCCUAGCCCUAAGGUGAUUCUCGCUCCUACUUUGAUUUUUGAUUCGCGUAGUGAUAAAAUCAUUUCCGAUUGGCUUUCUUUGUUUGCUUUCCUUUCCCUAAACUUAAUCGAAUCUUUCUGCCCCAUAAGAGAAAUUGGCUUUUUCUGGUGAAAACUUAGAUGUUGAAGCAUGGGCGGCCGUCGAUCGAUGAAUUGAGAAAGAGACCGGGGAUUCCAUUUCAAUAGAGAAAGCUAUCGAUGGUCGCAUUGGGACGGGAACAAGAGCAAUUCUUGGUCCCACCAAACCAUGCCAUGAACAGUCGACUCAACAAGAGCAGGGGAUAUUUAAACUAAGACUCAUUCCGUCUAUUGCUCUACCUUCCUCCAACAGAUUGAAUUGCAUCGUUUAUUCCCCGGCAAAACUAGCUGCUGACUCAACCUCCCCUCGGGUCUACGCCCUCUUUGUUUUAGCAUCGGCGAUUGAAAGAGAGUAGGAGCGCAUUCUCUCCAUCUCAGUUGGAAAGUCUAUCGCUCUCAGCAGCAGUUCCUUGGUCAUACCCUCGGUGAUGACUAGCAGUCCUUCCUGAUUGAGUUCUCACCCUCUAUGGAUAGAUCAAGAGUUCCGGCCCGGCUAUGAUUCCAUCAACAAACCCGAUUCGGUAUAAAAGCUUAGCUUCUAUUACAAGAAUCUAUUUUGAAAAGAGCUAUCCUAAAGCUUGACAGGUCUCCCCAACUCUGUUUUUCACUCGAAAACCGAAAGCAUAAGGAUGAGCCUUGGGCCCCCUUUCCCAAGAGCAGAAGGAGCGUUUAGAUACUGUACCUACCUUUAGGUGCGUGCAGGAGCAAGGACGAAAGGAGAACAAGUCGCAGGAGAAGCGUUGAAGAAGCAGUAGUUUAAGCCAUUGAUCCUGCAGCUUAUCAAAAUAAGCACCAGCAGACAGAGGUAGAUACAGAGC
rnacentral:lncRNA from 1 species